AUUGAACGCUGGCGGCAGGCCUAACACAUGCAAGUCGAGCGGAUGAAGGGAGCUUGCUCCUGGAUUCAGCGGCGGACGGGUAAGUAAUGCCUAGGAAUCUGCCUGGUAGUGGGGGAUAACGUCCGGAAACGGGCGCUAAUACCGCAUACGUCCUGAGGGAGAAAGUGGGGGAUCUUCGGACCUCACGCUAUCAGAUGAGCCUAGGUCGGAUUAGCUAGUUGGUGGGGUAAAGGCCUACCAAGGCGACGAUCCGUAACUGGUCUGAGAGGAUGAUCAGUCACACUGGAACUGAGACACGGUCCAGACUCCUACGGGAGGCAGCAGUGGGGAAUAUUGGACAGGGGGCGAAAGCCUGAUCCAGCCAUGCCGCGUGUGUGAAGAAGGUCUGCGGAUUGUAAAGCACUUUAAGUUGGGAGGAAGGGCAGUAAGUUAAUACCUUGCUGUUUUGACGUUACCAACAGAAUAAGCACCGGCUAACUUCGU
rnacentral:rRNA from 1 species